AUGAACGCUGGCGGCGUGCCUGAUACAUGCAAGUCGAGCGAACGGACGAGAAGCUUGCUUCUCUGAUGUUAGCGGCGGACGGGUGAGUAACACGUGGAUAACCUACCUAUAAGACUGGGAUAACUUCGGGAAACCGGAGCUAAUACCGGAUGAUAUUUUGAACCGCAUGGUUCAAAAGUGAAAAACGGUCUUGCUGUCACUUAUAGAUGGAUCCGCGCUGCAUUAGCUAGUUGGUAAGGUAACGGCUUACCAAGGCAACGAUGCAUAGCCGACCUGAGAGGGUGAUCGGCCACACUGGAACUGAGACACGGUCCAGACUCCUACGGGAGGCAGCAGUAGGGAAUCUUCCGCAAUGGGCGAAAGCCUGACGGAGCAACGCCGCGUGAGUGAUGAAGGUCUUCGGAUCGUAAAACUCUGUUAUUAGGGAAGAACAUAUGUGUAAGUAACUGUGCACAUCUUGACGGUACCUAAUCAGAAAGCCACGGCUAACUACGUG
rnacentral:rRNA from 1 species